UACGUAGGAUGCAAGCGUUGUCCGGAUUUACUGGGCGUAAAGCGCGCGCAGGCGGCUCUUUAAGUAUGGCGUGAAAUCUCCCUGCUCAACGGGGAGGGUGCGUUGUAGACUGAGGAGCUUGAGGUCGGUAGAGGGGGGUGGAAUUGCUGGUGUAGCGGUGAAAUGCGUAGAUAUCUGGAGGAACACCGGUGGCGAAGGCGGCAUCCUGGACCGGUAUUGACGCUGAGGCGCGAAAGCCAGGGGAGCAAACGGG
rnacentral:rRNA from 1 species